rnacentral:sRNA from 1 species
CAAAAACCUCAUCAUGCGGACCUUUUUGAAUUAGAAAGUCAGGCUUUUUCACAUAACCGCACCCACCAUUUGAUCUAAACAUUCCUUGCAUAUACCAAAGUGAUUUACCAUGCCCCUAAUAAAGGCAACACCGUAUCAGCAAAGCAUUUUCUCGCAAUGAGGAAACCUCGUCAGCUGAUUCCUUUUCACUGGAUUCAAGAAAUUCUUUUGGUGGUUUUGUUGAUAUAAGAAUUCGACCUUUCAAUGAUUCUGGUGAAGGGAAUUCCGUCAGGGAAUCUGUCUGAGGAUAAUAAAGCAAUUCUCCAAAUACUUGGGAGGCCAUCUACGUACAAGAAGAUGGAAACUCAGCAUUCAACACAUAAUAAAAUAGGGAUGUGAAGUAGAUGAAGAGAAUAAAAAGGAGUCCGACCUUUGCAACUUUGGCUUGAAGAUCUGGAGUAAGGUGAUCUUCUAAAGUUAUAACGAGUGGGUACUGAGAUUUAACAAAGGCAUACUCUUUUAUGGACUUCAAACAUUGGAGGAGUGAGACAGGAGUGGUAAGAGUCCUGCAUUAAGUAGUUUUACUAUAUUGUUGCACAAUAAAUAUCUCAAAAAACUACAAAGAUCGAAAUAUUUGAAAGGACAAUCAAUUGAACAGAGGAUCAGCUAGCACCUUCCAUGAACUACAUCGAUAUCAUCUUUAUCUGAAUUUGGCCAUAAAUCUAGUUCAAUUACUCGCACACCUCGUUGCAAAGCCUUUAUGAUUGGCACAUCACUGCAGUCACUGCUCAGUUGAUUCCCUGUCAGAUAGGAAUUGUGCCCAGUGUAUAUGAAAUAAUGUGAUAUUGGAGCAUUCAUAUCAUGAUGGACCUGGAAUUGUUAGGUUGUAUUCAUAUCAUGUAGCAAAUAUGCAUU